rnacentral:rRNA from 1 species
UCUUGGUCAUUUAGAGGAAGUAAAAGUCGUAACAAGGUUUCCGUAGGUGAACCUGCGGAAGGAUCAUUAUCGAAUUAUAAGCGAGGGUUGUAGCUGGCCUCCCUUUCGAGGCAUGUGCACGCCUGAGCUCUUAAAUCCACAACACACCUGUGAACCCACCGUAGGCCUUCGGGCUUAUGUAUCAUAUACUCUGAAUGUGUCAUAGAAUGUUCAUGUUGCCUUAAAACGCAAUCAAAUACAACUUUCAACAACGGAUCUCUUGGCUCUCGCAUCGAUGAAGAACGCAGCGAAAUGCGAUAAGUAAUGUGAAUUGCAGAUUUUCAGUGAAUCAUCGAAUCUUUGAACGCACCUUGCGCUCCUUGGUAUUCCGAGGAGCAUGCCUGUUUGAGUGUCAUUAAAUCCUCAACCCCACCGAUUUGCUUCGGGGGGAUUGGACUUGGAGCGUGCUGGCGAAGGUCGGCUCCUCUUUAAAUGCAUCAGCGGAGAAGAAAGCUCGUCCCAGUGUGAUAAUCCUGUUGCGCUGUGGUGGGGUGAAAAUUCCGCUUCCAACCGUCCUCCGGGACAAGACAUCUCAAUUUGACCUCAAAUCAGGUAGGACUACCCGCUGAACUUAAGCAUAUCAAUA